UGGGGAAUCUUGGACAAUGGGGGCAACCCUGAUCCAGCCAUGCCGCGUGAGUGAUGAAGGCCUUAGGGUCGUAAAGCUCUUUCGCCUGUGAAGAUAAUGACGGUAGCAGGUAAAGAAACCCCGGCUAACUCCGUGCCAGCAGCCGCGGUAAUACGGAGGGGGUUAGCGUUGUUCGGAAUUACUGGGCGUAAAGCGCACGUAGGCGGACCAGAAAGUUGGGGGUGAAAUCCCGGGGGCUCAACCCCGGAACUGCCUCCAAAACUAUUGGUCUAGAGUUCGAGAGAGGUGAGUGGAAUUCCAAGUGUAGAGGUGAAAAUUCGUAGAUAUUUGGAGGAACACCAGUGGCGAAGGCGGCUCACUGGCUCGAUACUGACGCUGAGGUGCGAAAGUGUGGGGAGCAAAACAGGAUUAGAUACCCUGGUAGUCCACACCGUAAAACGAUGAAUGCCAGUCGUCGGGUAGCAUGCUAUUCGGUGACACACCUAACGGAUUAAGCAUUCCGCCUGGGAGUACGGUCGCAAGAUUAAAACUCAAAGGAAUUG
rnacentral:rRNA from 1 species